CCCAGCCCUGGUGGCGCCUGGCCCCGAGGUUCUCACUGACUGAGCUCAUGAGAGCUGUUACCGCAUAUGUAGGCUCCGAAGAAUCGUCAUGGCUUCUGGGGAGAUCUGUGAUCAUUCCAGCAUUCUACUCUAAACGACCCAUUUUGCUUCUCUGUGCUUGUUUAAUUUGUAGUGGCCCUUUGGGUUGGUUGAUAAGGUCCUCAUGUCACAAAUUGAAACUAGUGGAUUAUAAGAACAGGGUUUGGUGUUCUCAAAAAAGGCAUAAUGAUAACCCAGAGCAGUAACUACCCUGUACACGUGACAAGGAGCCAUUUUGUUGUUUUAAUUUUUAUCCUUUGUAUUUAUCUGAUUGAUUUUGAGUGUCAUCUUCCCUGUUUCUUAUACCCAAGCCCCAAAAUACAUCA
rnacentral:lncRNA from 1 species